rnacentral:rRNA from 1 species
GCCUAUGGCCAGACGGGACUGAUUGCAUGUCAUCUGGGAAGCUAAGCAGGCCCAGGCCCGGUUUGUACCUGCAUGGGAGACUGCCUAGGAAUCCUGGGGGGAGUAGACC